GGGGCUGACAUGGAUUUGACAGCAGGAUGAGGUGUUGUGUAAGCACGCAGAGAGUCGUGAGUCGCUCUCUAUAAUACAUGGCUUUCGAAGAUUUAUCUGGCGAAAACAAUUACGCUCUCGCUGCCUAACUGAAGUACAGUAGGUUACUGGCUUUAUCCUGACACCAGGUGUCGGGACGAGAUGUCACUCAAUGAGCUCUUGCUCCGAAGCGCAUUGGUACAGUGGCACGGCAAAUUCGGGGAUAGUCGGCAGUAGCCUUGUGCUGCCGAUGAAGCUUAGAGGAUAAGGUGCAGAUUGGUGGUCCGGGUCUUGUCUGCACACGAAAAUGAAGACCGGAAUAAGCGUGUAGAAAGCACAGUGCGUCCCUGUUUGGACGAGGGUUCAAUCCCCUCCAGCUCCACU
rnacentral:tmRNA from 1 species